rnacentral:rRNA from 1 species
UACAGAGACUGCAAGCGUUAUUCGGAUUCACUGGGCGUAAAGGGUGCGCAGGCGCCAUGUGUGUGAGGCGUGAAAGCCUGGAGCUUAACUCCAGAAUUGCACCUCAAACUACAUGGCUAGAGCAUUGGAGAGGGUAGCAGAAUUCAUGGUGUAGCAGUGAAAUGCGUAGAGAUGUGGAGGAAUACCGAUGGCGAAGGCAGCCCCUGGAC